UAUGUCACUGGGCAUUGGCUUUGA
rnacentral:miRNA from 1 species